rnacentral:tRNA from 1 species
UCUUUGCUAGUAUAUCGGUUAGUACACGCGCCUGUCAUCUCGAAGGUUCUCCGCGCGAAAGCUGGGUUCGACUCCCAGGCAGAGAG